rnacentral:rRNA from 1 species
UACGGAGGAUGCGAGCGUUAUCCGGAUUUAUUGGGUUUAAAGGGUGCGUAGGCGGGCUGUUAAGUCAGCGGUCAAAGCCCGGGGCUCAACCCCGGCCCGCCGUUGAAACUGGCAGUCUCGAGUUGGAGAGAAGUAUGCGGAAUGCGCGGUGUAGCGGUGAAAUGCGUAGAUAUUAGGAGGAACACCGGCGGCGAAGGCGGCCUGCUGGACCGUAACUGACGUUGAGGCUCGAAAGCGUGGGGAGCAAACAGG